UACGGGGGGGGCAAGCGUUGUUCGGAAUUACUGGGCGUAAAGGGCUCGUAGGUGGCCAACUAAGUCAGACGUGAAAUCCCUCGGCUUAACCGGGGAACUGCGUCUGAUACUGGAUGGCUUGAGUUUGGGAGAGGGAUGCGGAAUUCCAGGUGUAGCGGUGAAAUGCGUAGAUAUCUGGAGGAACACCGGUGGCGAAGGCGGCAUCCUGGACCAAUUCUGACGCUGAGGAGCGAAAGCGUGGGGAACAAACAGG
rnacentral:rRNA from 1 species